CAGGGGGCGAUCGAGACAUUUUGGCUUCACUUUUCAGGGUUUGUGCGGCACGCUUGGUUAUAACUAAGAAAGAUAGAAAGGAAAAAAUAAGACGAUAGGACUAUUAGUGACUCUUUCCCAGGACAGCAGAGAGCGACAGUAGCAAACACCGGUCUUCUCUGAGACUUCUGAUCUUCAAUAAUGAAAAAGAAGUCUACUCCAUGUCUGACAUGGAGGAGAUUUUGAAUUUCUUCACCACCUUGGAGAAUAAAACUCAAGAUGCUGCGGAAGUCAACUGCAGAAAGGUCUCAGUCCUAUAGGGACAGACUAAAAGAGGACCCUGUCAAAUAUGAAGAGCGACUGAAGAGAGACAGGGAGAGAUACAUGAGGAAAAAAGAAAGAGGGGUUGUAAAGCCAAUUGCAGAUUUGUCAAAGCGAGAACAACGCAAAAGAAGGAGACAAUGGAGAACCAAUCAAAGAAAUUAUCGGGAGAAGAUGAACAAAGAUCUUAAGGUACAGGCCUACCUUUCUACCACUACACCACCAAACUCUCCAGAUUCUGUGCAGCCAGAACAUGAUGUUGAUCCACCUCCCACACCAACCUCACCAUCACCCUCUGCCCAAUGUUUAAGUCAAAAACAAAGGGGAAGGAAGAAGGUUCUAAGAAACCGUUCAAAAGUUUAUGCAGCAUUGUAUGAAAGCAAUGUUAAGCUUGGGAAGGCUCUGCAGAAGGCCGAGAGGUACCGCAAACGGUAUGACUGAUUAAUGAAGAAAGUGAAGCAGGCUGACUCCCCAAGUCAAAAAAUCAGAUUGCAACACCACCACACACUCUAAGAAGAACUUUGGUUUUCCAUAAUGCUCUUCUUGCUGAGCUGAGAGACAGAUAUGAAAAUCUGUCCUCCGAGAGAGAAAAACAACUUAUUUCAAAGAUAAUGGCAGGAAAGAUCCUUAAGAAGUAUCGCCUACUGAAAAUGGCUAGAACAGAAUUUGGCUUCUCAGCCAAAAGAGCCAAAAGAGGUCAGCAGCACUUAAAAACACAAGGAAGAAGCAAAAAACAGCAUCAGCACAGACACAGAAAAGAAAAUCAAGCAAUUAUUGAAAAGAGAUGAGAACAGCAGAGCAACAACUGGUAAAAAGGAGACUCUGACACAGAAGAAAAUGAAAAAAAUUCCUUAAUGAACCUAUGGAAAUACUUCAUGACAAAUUUAAGAAGGAGUAUCCUGACAUACAGAUUUCUUACAGUGAGUUCUGCAAGAAACAUCCUUUUUGGAUUAUAAAGCCCACAAUUAAGGACAGACACAUGCAUAUGCAAGACGCAUGCCAAUAUGCAGUUAAUGGCAGACAAACUGCUGCAGCACAAAGUGAUCAACAGCAGUAAAAUUGAAGAUUUGGUGGUCUCUCUGUGCUGUUCACCAUACACCAAGGAGUGUAUGUACAGAGAAUGACCCAAUUGUCUGCUUCAGAAGGUUUCAAAUAAAUGUCUUCUGUUUUUCUACAUGGAUGUCCAUUCAUUGUCAUUUCCACAACACCCAGUCAUUUCCACCACUUCAUAACUUUUUUAAAAAUAUUUACAAAAUUCUAAUCACUAAUUGAAAACUUCUGCAUAGUUUAAGGGAUAAUGUUCCACUUAAUGUACUAACACAAGUAGUUAUUUUUCUGAAACUUAUCUAACCAAUCCAAUAUUAUAUUUCAGGUUGCGGUGGAUGUAAACUUUGUGUUUGG
ensembl:lncRNA